GAUGAAGAACGUAGCGAAAUGCGAUACGUAAUGUGAAUUGCAGAAUUCAGUGAAUCAUCGAGUCUUUGAACGCACCUUGCGCCCUUUGGCUAUUCCAGAGGGCAUGCCUGUUUGAGUAUCAUGAACACCUCAACUCUCAUGGUUCUGCCAUGAUGAGCUUGGACUUUGGAGGUCUUGCUGGCCCCUGUGGUCAGCUCCUCUCAAAUGGAUCAGCUUGCCAGUGUUUGGUGGCAUCACAGGUGUGAUAACUAUCUACGCUUGUGGUUUUCCACCAGGUAACCUUCAGUGAUGGAGGUUCGCUGGAGCUCAUAAACGUCUCUCCUCAGCGAGGACAGCUUCUUGAACGUUUGAUCUCAAAUCAGGUAGGGCUACCCGCUGAACUUAAGCAUAUCAAUAAGCGGAGGA
rnacentral:misc_RNA from 1 species